GACGAACGCUGGCGGCGUGCUUAACACAUGCAAGUCGAACGGAAAGGCGCUGCGUUUGUGGGGUGCUCGAGAGGCGCACGGGUGAGUAUCACGUGAGUAUCCUGCCCUUGACUGUGGGGUAACUCCAGGGGAAACGGGCUAAAAUCGGAGAGAAGAUCCUGCUGCAUGGGGUGGGUUGGAAAGAGUCGGCGGUUGGGGAUGGUCUGGCGGCUUAUCAGCUUGAUUGGGGGGUAGUGGCUGACCAGGGCUUUGACGGGUAGCCGGCCUGAGAGGGUGACCGGCCACAUUAGGCCUGAGAUACGGCCCAGACUGCUACGUGAGGCAGCAGUGGGGAAUCUUACGCAGUGGGCGGAAGCCUGAUGCAGCAGCGCCGCGUGCGUGAUGACGUGCUUCGGGUUGUAAACCGCUUUCGCCUGUGACGAAGCGUGAGUGACGGUACUGGGUCAAGAAGCACCGGCUAACUACGUG
rnacentral:rRNA from 1 species